GUAGAGGAGUGGAAGUGGGCAGGUUUAUAUACUCCUCAGGCCCCUCCCUCCUUCUCCACACUCCAUCAUGGCGAUGCAUAACAAGGCCACAACGCCUCAGAUUCCAGAUACCCGCCGGGAACUCUCCGAGCUAGUGAAGAGGAAACAGGAGCUGGCGGAGACCUUGGCAAAUCUAGAACGCCAGAUCUAUGCUUUCGAAGGAAGUUAUCUGGAAGAUACCCAGAUGUAUGGGAAUAUCAUCCGAGGAUGGGACCGUUACUUAACAAAUCAAAAGAACUCAAACAGCAAAAAUGAUAGAAGAAAUCGAAAGUUUAAAGAAGCAGAAAGACUUUUUAGUAAAUCUUCAGUAACUUCUGCAGCGGCUGUAAGUGCAUUAGCUGGAGUACAAGAUCAAAUGAUUGAUAAACGAGAGCCAGGCAGCGGAACAGAGAGCGACAAUUCUCCAGACUUUCAGAAUCAGGAGAAUGAGCCUAGUCAGGAUGAUACAGAAGAUCUAGAUGGUUCCUUAUCGGGUGUCAAGCCUCAGAAAGCGGCAUCAUCGGCCAACUCUGGAGGGCAUCAUAGCAGUCACAAGAAACGCAAGAAUAAAAACCGGCACAGUCCAUCUGGCAUGUAUGAUUAUGACUUCGAUCUCUUUAUCUCCCGUUCCAGCCCCGAGUGAUGCCUGCGGUCCUAUGCUCACGUGAUUGACCUCAAACUGAACAAAAAGCCCAGAUCAGAUUAUUAGUUUUGGUUACCACUUCAAGCAAGACUUUCAAGAGAACUGACUUCCAGACCAAGGAUAUUCACUGUUACUUCAAAUAAGACACCAGCAUGUGUGUCUAAAUUUACCAGCUUUUAUGUUUUUUAAUAGAUAUAGGCAAAGUUGUGGUAUGUGUAAACAACUGCUUUCUAUGUGCCUUUUGUUGCUUUCUUGUGCCAAGUUCAGUUCACAACAUCAUGAGUGAAAUUCAGCUAAUGCUGCUUGUGGCUUUCUUUAAACCAGCAGUUGGGUAUUUUGUCUGAGUUGAGAAGAUGCAGAUAGGCCAUGUCCUAUUUUACCCCCUUUUGUAUACUGCACAGUAGCCACCCCUUCUAAGCCACAUUAAUGCUAGGUAUUGCAUUGACUGAGUUCCAUUCACCCUAAUGUUAAAUUAAUACCCAAUGAGACUGCCAGUUUACAUAAACCUUUCCUCUAAUAUGUGGGAUUAUUAUCUGGAUUUGAUAUACCUUUUUUUUAAAUUCUAGUAUUGAAGUAUAAUUUUCUAGCAUAAUGAAACUGCUACAGGUAUAAAGCGUAGUUACUUAUAGGUUCUGGCAGGUACAUACUUGCAGCAACCUCCUAAAAAGUCUGCAGUUAUGGCAGUGGUAGUCUGCCAUUAGAAUAUAUCAGGUAAAACUAUUCCACUUUCUAACAGUGCUAAAAGUUGCCUGCUCCAUUAUGCUCAUAGACCAUUAAGGAGGUCCAUCAUAGUGAUGAGCCAAUAGUAAUGUGUGGCGCUUCACCAUGUAGGCAUCUCCAAGCGUACUUUAUCCCUCUUAAUAGUCCUCGUUAAAGCAGUAGUAUUGUUUAAAUUUUACUUCAUCCAAUUUACACAUACACAUGUCUCUAGGGAUGGUUUACUAGGCCAAAACAAAAAAUGAGCCCAUAUAUUAUCUGGUUUUCUAUUUAAGGCACUUGCUUGUUUUCCAAAUAUGCCACAGCUUAUUUAUUUGACCUACAUUGGUAUGGCUUAGUUUGACAUCUUAAACAAAUGUGUAGCACCUUCUCACAUGGUCUUGCAUUUCCAUAGUUUUCAGAUUUACUUUCAAGAUUGAAAAUGGUAAAUGAAUUGUAUUUGCUUUUUAAAAGUUUUAUAUUUUUGCUGACACAGGAGAACGCUAAAAAGGUUCUCCAAAAUAGGACUCAGAAUUUUAGAUAUUUACUCUGUGUAAAGUAAGGCGUUCAGUAGAGUUGUGCUUGGUUAUUUUUGCUGAGUACAAGCAUCAGAAUUUUUUUCUUUUUUGGUAUUUGUAAAUGUGUACAUAUUUUUAUACUGUGGAUUUCUUAUUUUUUUUUUUUUAGGCCUAAAUUGUAUUUGCUUUUAAAGUUAAAAACUGUGGGGUUAUUUACUAAAACUGGAGAGUGCAAAAUCUGAUGCAGCUGUGCUUGGUAGCCAAUAGAGCUGCACGACUCUGGAUAAAAUGAGAAUUAAGAUUCUCACCACGUAACCUCAUCUUUCACAUUAUACAAAAAAAUUUGGCUAACGUU